AACGAACGCUGGCGGCAUGCCUAACACAUGCAAGUCGAACGAGAUCUUCGGGUCUAGUGGCGCACGGGUGCGUAACGCGUGGGAAUCUGCCCUUUGGUUCGGAAUAACAGUUGGAAACGACCGCUAAUACCGGAUGAUGACGAAAGUCCAAAGAUUUAUCGCCAGAGGAUGAGCCCGCGUAGGAUUAGCUAGUUGGUGUGGUAAAGGCGCACCAAGGCGACGAUCCUUAGCUGGUCUGAGAGGAUGAUCAGCCACACUGGGACUGAGACACGGCCCAGACUCCUACGGGAGGCAGCAGUGGGGAAUAUUGGACAAUGGGCGAAAGCCUGAUCUAGCAAUGCCGCGUGAGUGAUGAAGGCCUUAGGGUUGUAAAGCUCUUUCGUCCGGGACGAUAAUGACGGUACCGGAAGAAGAAGCCCCGGCUAACUUCGUGCCAGCCGCCGCAGUAA
rnacentral:rRNA from 1 species